rnacentral:rRNA from 1 species
ACCGGCCUACGGGGGGCAGCAGUAGGGAAUCUUCCACAGUGGACGAAAGUCUGAUGGAGCAACGCCGCGUGAGUGAAGAAGGGUUUCGGCUCGUAAAGCUCUGUUGGUAGUGAAGAAAGAUAGAGGUAGUAACUGGCCUUUAUUUGACGGUAAUUACUUAGAAAGUCACGGCUAACUACGUACCAGCAGCCGCGGUAAUACGUAGGUGGCAAGCGUUGUCCGGAUUUAUUGGGCGUAAAGCGAGUGCAGGCGGGUCAAUAAAACU